AGUCGAGCGGUAGCACAGAGAGCUUGCUCUCGGGUGACGAGCGGCGGACGGGUGAGUAAUGUCUGGGAAACUGCCUGAUGGAGGGGGAUAACUACUGGAAACGGUAGCUAAUACCGCAUAACGUCGCAAGACCAAAGUGGGGGACCUUCGGGCCUCAUGCCAUCAGAUGUGCCCAGAUGGGAUUAGCUGGUAGGUGGGGUAACGGCUCACCUAGGCGACGAUCCCUAGCUGGUCUGAGAGGAUGACCAGCCACACUGGAACUGAGACACGGUCCAGACUCCUACGGGAGGCAGCAGUGGGGAAUAUUGCACAAUGGGCGCAAGCCUGAUGCAGCCAUGCCGCGUGUGUGAAGAAGGCCUUCGGGUUGUAAAGCACUUUCAGCGGGGAGGAAGGCGGUGAGGUUAAUAACCUCAUCGAUUGACGUUACCCGCAGAAGAAGCACCGGCUAACUCCGUGCCAGCAGCCGCGGUAAUACGGAGGGUGCAAGCGUUAAUCGGAAUUACUGGGCGUAAAGCGCACGCAGGCGGUCUGUCAAGUCGGAUGUGAAAUCCCCGGGCUCAACCUGGGAACUGCAUUCGAAACUGGCAGGCUAGAGUCUUGUAGAGGGGGGUAGAAUUCCAGGUGUAGCGGUGAAAUGCGUAGAGAUCUGGAGGAAUACCGGUGGCGAAGGCGGCCCCCUGGACAAAGACUGACGCUCAGGUGCGAAAGCGUGGGGAGCAAACAGGAUUAGAUACCCUGGUAGUCCACGCUGUAAACGAUGUCGAUUUGGAGGUUGUGCCCUUGAGGCGUGGCUUCCGGAGCUAACGCGUUAAAUCGACCGCCUGGGGGAGUACGGCCGCAAGGUUAAAACUCAAAUGAAUUGACGGGGGCCCGCACAAGCGGUGGAGCAUGUGGUUUAAUUCGAUGCAACGCGAAGAACCUUACCUGGUCUUGACAUCCACAGAACUUUCCAGAGAUGGAUUGGUGCCUUCGGGAACUGUGAGACAGGUGCUGCAUGGCUGUCGUCAGCUCGUGUUGUGAAAUGUUGGGUUAAGUCCCGCAACGAGCGCAACCCUUAUCCUUUGUUGCCAGCGGUUAGGCCGGGAACUCAAAGGAGACUGCCAGUGAUAAACUGGAGGAAGGUGGGGAUGACGUCAAGUCAUCAUGGCCCUUACGACCAGGGCUACACACGUGCUACAAUGGCAUAUACAAAGAGAAGCGACCUCGCGAGAGCAAGCGGACCUCAUAAAGUAUGUCGUAGUCCGGAUUGGAGUCUGCAACUCGACUCCAUGAAGUCGGAAUCGCUAGUAAUCGUAGAUCAGAAUGCUACGGUGAAUACGUUCCCGGGCCUUGUACACACCGCCCGUCACACCAUGGGAGUGGGUUGCAAAAGAAGUAGGUAGCUUAACCUUCGGGAGGGCGC
rnacentral:rRNA from 1 species